rnacentral:rRNA from 1 species
AGCGAACGCUGGCGGCAGGCUUAACACAUGCAAGUCGAGCGGGCAUCUUCGGAUGUCAGCGGCAGACGGGUGAGUAACACGUGGGAACGUACCCUUCGGUUCGGAACAACUCUGGGAAACUGGAGCUAAUACCGGAUACGCCCUUAUGGGGAAAGGUUUACUGCCGAAGGAUCGGCCCGCGUCUGAUUAGCUAGUUGGUGGGGUAACGGCCUACCAAGGCGACGAUCAGUAGCUGGUCUGAGAGGAUGAUCAGCCACACUGGGACUGAGACACGGCCCAGACUCCUACGGGAGGCAGCAGUGGGGAAUAUUGGACAAUGGGCGCAAGCCUGAUCCAGCCAUGCCGCGUGAGUGAUGAAGGCCUUAGGGUUGUAAAGCUCUUUUGUCCGGGACGAUAAUGACGGUACCGGAAGAAUAAGCCCCAGCUAACUUCGUG